UGAGCAAUCUGCCCUUCUCAUCGGAAUAAGCGUUGGAAACGACGUCUAAUGCCGAAUAUGACCUCCUUUCACAUGAUCGGAGGUGGAAAGCUCCGGCGGAGAAGGAUGAGCUCGCGGCCUAUCAGCUAGUUGGUGUGGUAAUGGCUCACCAAGGCGACGACGGGUAGCCGGCCUGAGAGGGUGACCGGCCACACGUGGGACUGAGACACGGCCCAGGCCUCGUAACCGGGGA
rnacentral:rRNA from 1 species